rnacentral:misc_RNA from 1 species
CUUGGCCGGCUCCUGGCCUCCCGUCAGCGAUGUAAGGAAUCCCUCCUGAGCCACGUACGGACCCACACCGAGAUAUACGCAUACACACGCGUGCGGGGAGAACCUCAGGAGCGUGCCCUGGUGACUGUAACGAAAAGAGGCGCAUGCCCCCGGCACCCAAACAACACAACACAGCACCACCUCUGUUUAAGUCUCCGUCAUCGAUCGCAUAUCUUCUUCUCGAAUCUCACCCAUCCUCCCCCUCUCUCCGGAAACCUAUCAGAGCUGCUGCAUCGUUUGUCUUUGUUGCCACCACCUAAUUCAUCAGCCUCUCACUCAUUGUUGUGGAGCGCCCCGUAUGUCCAGCGAGGUCGAGGAGCUGCUAGCGCGACACCAGCGCAGGUUUGCCGUGUACGAGGAGUUUCUUCGCACCGACAACAAGACGCUGCCGCCGCCGCCGAGGUCGCCGAGCCCACAGCAACGAGAGCAGCAGCGGCAACACCAGACAGCCCCAAGCGAAGCUGUGCUUUCCACGCACAGUGUCAGUGGGCGUGAUGCUCAUUACGUCAGUGGCACGAGCGCUGGCGACCACAACGAGGAGCGCGUAGGGAGAUCGCGCGAUAGAGGCGGACAUUCAAGCCCAGGCGCACGCGCGCCAAAGACGGCGACGACGUCCACGACGUCGGUAGCUGAUGUGGCUCGAGCCAUCGCAGCGCACGGAAGCCCGGUGGAGCCCACCCGCUCGUAUGCGAGCAUUGAAGCCGGUACGCCGCCGUCGUUGCAGCGGCGCUCCACCUCGCGGUCGCCGUGCGACGCGCAUACCACUGCGGCGGCGACGUCGGUAGCUCGUCACCGCACUUCCGCUGGCGAGCUCGAUGACAUCGACUACCUUAUCGGUGAGCGGCUGCGCUCGGCGGGGCGGUACAGGCUAGCGUUGACGCCGGACGCCGCAUACAUCAAGUCGCAGGCGUGGGCACUGCGACGCGAUCAGGUAAAAGAAGCGUUGCGCCGCGAGCAGGAAGAUGCGAAGCUCAGGGAAUGCACCUUUCGGCCACAGCUGGGACCCGCGGCGAUGGAGGGCACCCGUGAUGCGGAAGCCGCAUCGAACGGUAGUGGCGGCCACUGCCCCGACGUCGGGGCAGUGAAGGUUUCCGUGACCGAGGACCCUGGCGUCUCGCAGCACCUUGCACGGCUGGAGAAGGCGCGCCGGCACCGCCGGGAGACAGAGACGCGCCUUAACGGCAGCAACGCACAUCACUGGACAAGUCGGUCCACAGUGCCACACGAGUUUCAACUAGGGCUCCGAGUUGCCGAGUCGAUUCCGUCACUGCGCAAGCCCUACAUGCCGAUUACCAGCCUUGGCGGUGACCUCAGUACUGCCACCUCGCUGCAGAGACAUGAGCGAGAAGAGAUCGUGAAGCGCGCUUCAGCUGCGCAGAGGCGACGUUCCUUCUCGUCAGCGCCUCCCUCACAUGUCAGGGACCGUCGCGGCAGCCGCCCGCGGUCGCCGUUGCCCACCACGACGGAUGCGGCGAGGCGCUCGGUGAACGGCGAGCAGAAGAAGCCGCGACGGCAAAAGGGGCUACCGCGGACGAGGCAGCGAUUCUUUUCAUCGACGACGUUAAUACCGGAUGCGGCACACGGCGAGGCAUAUGCCCCGGAGCCCCAGCGCUCGUGCCUCGAAGUGGGCGCACGAGACAUGGUGUGCUAUCUAACGGACCAGCUGACUCACAAGGAUGCGAUCAUUCAAGAGCAAGUAGAAAACCUGGAACGGCUGCACCGCGAGCUGGAUGCGGCGAUGGAGACGCUACACCAGAUAGCAUCUCUUGGAGCUUCACGCUGAGGUCACCAGCGCACGCACCCACACGCGGGCAUGUGUGUACGCGUACGCAGGACCGCACUGCGUGGGUCCCGUCUUUUUCCCGUUCUCCUUGCCGCUGGAGGUGUCGUCUUGUGCCGCCUCACUUUUUCUGUGCUUAGAUUUGUUUUUUGUUGUCGCUGUAGGUGACCCGCUGUACUGUCCCCGUGCGUGGGCACCCUUCGUAUGAUGUGGAGCGCACCCCCUCCUCUUCUCUC